UGGAAUACUAGCCCAAAUGCUCUGCCAACUGAGCUACGCUGUCAGGUCGGUUGCUCAGUUGGCAGAGCAUUGGGCUAGUAUUCCA